GAGUUUGAUCCUGGCUCAGAUUGAACGCUGGCGGCAGGCUUAACACAUGCAAGUCGAGCGGAGAUGAGGUGCUUGCACCUUAUCUUAGCGGCGGACGGGUGAGUAAUGCUUAGGAAUCUGCCUAUUAGUGGGGGACAACAUUCCGAAAGGAAUGCUAAUACCGCAUACGUCCUACGGGAGAAAGCAGGGGAUCUUCGGACCUUGCGCUAAUAGAUGAGCCUAAGUCGGAUUAGCUAGUUGGUGGGGUAAAGGCCUACCAAGGCGACGAUCUGUAGCGGGUCUGAGAGGAUGAUCCGCCACACUGGGACUGAGACACGGCCCAGACUCCUACGGGAGGCAGCAGUGGGGAAUAUUGGACAAUGGGGGGAACCCUGAUCCAGCCAUGCCGCGUGUGUGAAGAAGGCCUUAUGGUUGUAAAGCACUUUAAGCGAGGAGGAGGCCACUGAGACUAAUACUCUUGGAUAGUGGACGUUACUCGCAGAAUAAGCACCGGCUAACUCUGUGCCAGCAGCCGCGGUAAUACAGAGGGUGCGAGCGUUAAUCGGAUUUACUGGGCGUAAAGCGUGCGUAGGCGGCUUUUUAAGUCGGAUGUGAAAUCCCCGAGCUUAACUUGGGAAUUGCAUUCGAUACUGGGAAGCUAGAGUAUGGGAGAGGAUGGUAGAAUUCCAGGUGUAGCGGUGAAAUGCGUAGAGAUCUGGAGGAAUACCGAUGGCGAAGGCAGCCAUCUGGCCUAAUACUGACGCUGAGGUACGAAAGCAUGGGGAGCAAACAGGAUUAGAUACCCUGGUAGUCCAUGCCGU
rnacentral:rRNA from 1 species